rnacentral:rRNA from 1 species
GACGAACGCUGGCGGCGUGCUUAACACAUGCAAGUCGAACGCUGAAGCUCAGCUUUUGUUGGGUGGAUGAGUGGCGAACGGGUGAGUAACACGUGAGUAACCUGCCCCCUUCUUUGGGAUAACGCCCGGAAACGGGUGCUAAUACUUGAUAUUCACUGGUCUUCGCAUGGGGGUUGGUGGAAAGGGGUUUUCUGGUGGGGGAUGGGCUCGCGGCCUAUCAGCUUGUUGGUGGGGUGAUGGCCUACCAAGGCUUUGACGGGUAGGCGGGCUGAGAGGGUGACCGGUCACAUUGGGACUGAGAUACGGCCUAGACUCCUACGGGGGGCAGCAGUGGGGAAUAUUGCACAAUGGGCGCAAGCCUGAUGCAGCGACGCCGCGGGAGGGAUGGAGGCCUUCGGGUUGUGAACCUCUUUCGCUCAUGGUCAAGCCGCAACAAUGGUUGUGGUGAGGGUAGUGGGUAAAGAAGCGCCGGCUAACUACGUG